rnacentral:rRNA from 2 species
GGGUGGUAAUGCCGGAUGCUCCGACUCCUCGCAUGGGGUGUCGGGAAAGAUUUCAUCGGUAUGGGAUGGGGUCGCGUCCUAUCAGGUAGUCGGCGGGGUAACGGCCCACCGAGCCUACGACGGGUAGCCGGCCUGAGAGGGCGACCGGCCACAUUGGGACUGAGAUACGGCCCAGACUCCUACGGGAGGCAGCAGUGGGGAAUAUUGCACAAUGGGCGCAAGCCUGAUGCAGCGACGCCGCGUGCGGGAUGACGGCCUUCGGGUUGUAAACCGCUUUUGAUCGGGAGCAAGCCUUCGGGUGAGUGUACCUUUCGAAUAAGCACCGGCUAACUACGUGCCAGCAGCCGCGGUAAUACGUAGGGUGCAAGCGUUAUCCGGAAUUAUUGGGCGUAAAGGGCUCGUAGGCGGUUCGUCGCGUCCGGUGUGAAAGUCCAUCGCUUAACGGUGGAUCUGCGCCGGGUACGGGCGGGCUGGAGUGCGGUAGGGGAGACUGGAAUUCCCGGUGUAACGGUGGAAUGUGUAGAUAUCGGGAAGAACACCA